rfam:Erinaceus europaeus unplaced genomic scaffold scaffold00200, whole genome shotgun sequence
AUGCUCACUUCAGCAGCACAUAUACUAAACCUGGAAUGAUACAGAGAAGAUUAGCAGGGCCCCUGCACAAGGAUGACAUGAAAAUUUGCUAAGCAUGUUUUU